rnacentral:lncRNA from 1 species
GUCAUCGAGCGAGGCAAGGUUAACCCACCACAAGAGAAACGGAUCACAGUCAGGGAAAAGUCGCGGUUUCACCCAUGGAGCACGCAGGAGAGAAGCUUGCAGUACAGCGGGGUUCGGGGCUCAGACCAUGGGAGCCUGCAGGACCCGAGCUGUGCCUCAGAGCCGUGCGAGGUCUGGACUCUGCCUCGGGAAUUGGAGUUCUCCGGAGUAAAACCCACGAAGAGCACCACAGGAGGCUGCGGGAUCUGGGGAAGCCCUGCUCCCCGGGAUCCCACGGAGACUUCCAGGAGCGUGGAAUCGAUGGACAGACUGACGGACACAAAGGCCAGGCUCUGGGAGGUCUAGGAUUCCGUGGCCGCCCCGCCUCCCCCAGCCUCCCUCCCCUUCCCCCACUACCUGAGGCUCUGAAGCUUCCCGCUUCCUGGCUGUAACUGAGAUCUGGCAGCUCUCGCUCUGUGCCAAUGACUGGCUGCGUAACCGAACUCAGGCCUCACAUGAGAGACGCUUGCUCUCACAUCGUUCAAGGGAGAAGCUUGCCCUGAUAGUAUCUACGGAUUGACAUCCCGAUACCAACACCUUCCAUGCUCACACCGCACCCCCGGGUGCCCCUCACUUCCUCUGCAUGGCUGGGCGGCCUCUCACAGCUGUGUUCCCUCAUUCCACCUGCGAGUGGGGAAAAAUCAAUAUUUUCGAGGAAUGAAUGGACAUGUCUUUCUCUGUCAGGUGAGCCUACUUAAGGAAACAACUCAAGUCAGAAGAAAUCUUGGCUACUGAAGCUUAGGAUGAGCCAAGCUGGAAACACCUCCAGUCCGUGUUCGAGGCAGCAGAGGGGUCACGUGACCGGCGCACCUCCGCUUCUCCUAGGGCUUCCGUUUUGUUUUGUUUUUUCCCCCCCAAAGCUGUGGGGGUAGAAUGACCCUUUCACAGGGGUCACGUAAGAUAAUCGGAAAACACAGAUACUUAUGUUACAAUUCAUAACAGUAGCAAAAUUACAGUUAUCAAAAAGCAAUGAAAUAAU